ensembl:lncRNA
CGGUACUUAAAUGGUUCAUGUUAGAUAAGCAGGAAUGACUUAUUAAACCUAAAAUAUCUCAAGUCUUUGUAAAUAGGGAAGGGUGGAGGGGGUGAAGGGAGGGCUAGGAAUGGGGAAAAAACAAGAACCAAGAUGCAUUAUGUAAAGGUACAAUUCCCACUGAUGAAUGUAAUUGUGCUGUAUACCUACAAUGUACCAAUAAAGAAUUUAAUUUUUAAAAAAACUCUAAAAUACCUCUCAUUAUCCAUCAGAAGAUCUUGGUGUUCAGAGCAGCAUAGGGGUCAAUGACUGAGAAGAACCAUCAGAAGGGAAGGUUUCUUUAAGGAGAGAAUUAACCUUAGAAACAAAGCUACCAACUUCCCCUCUAGUUUACCACUGUAGUCAGGCCUUGAUUUCAUUAGGAGAAACAUUUGUUGUCAUAAUUAUGGAAUGACAAUGACUACUGCUAAUUUCUGCUCUACAAAAAGGCAACAAUUUCUGAAGAGCAACUACAGAUUUUCUUUUUGAUCACCAUACUCAGAGCUCCACAUUAAUAGAAACCCCAUCUCUCAGCACCCAACACUGCUGUAGUCACUCUCACCCAGGAGUCUUAUUGAAGAGACCUAUUUAUUGCUCUUUUGUCUCCAUAGUCAACCAACUCAUUGUAUGUUACAGAGUAUCUUUGUGGAUUAUAUUAGCUUGGGUUCAGGAAAUGAACAUUUUCUUCAACUUUCUGAUUUUCAUUGCCUGGCAAGUGAAAAGAAGUUAUAUGGUAGUAGGCCACUUUUUUGCCAUUCAAUGUUAGUGCUUCGGAAAAAUGACUUUGCCAUGAUACUAGCUCUGAUAACUGGGAGUAUUAUUCAGUACCUUUUGGAACAUUAAAAUGAUAGUUUAGGGAAGAGAAACAUCUUUGAGCACAAGAAGAAUGAUCCCCACUGCUUCCUCUUAUUUUUUUUCUUCAAGACUGCAUAUUGUAUACAUCUGAUGACUUCCCUUCAUUUAUCUAGGGCUAAUUCCUAAAACUGAUACCAAAAGAUAAGACAGAACACUUUGUAAGGACACAUGGGUGCCGGACUCUUUUGACUCUAAUGACUCUGACUACUUCAUUCUUAUCUUUCUUUUAAAAAGAGAAGUGGAGAAGAACGAUGAUUUUUAAUUACAAGACCAUCUGUUUACUUCUAAGUGAAAAUGUAGGCUUUUGCAUAUUAGAUUGGUGAUCUUUAAGUUCAUAACCGAGGUUUUGUGGGUUCUGAGAAGCAACAACAGGAGAGUGGAUUCCAGAUAGAAAUGUAACUGGAAAUGUUACUACUUAGGAAGGCAGACAUCAAAUUAUUCAAUAGCUGGAGCCAUUCAGAAUUGACCUCUGAAGCUGAAUUGUAAUUCAAGCUUCAAAAAUAGGCUAUUACAAUGCUGGCAAUGGAAGUCUCUUGAAAUCAAGUAAAAGCAGCAACUAGAUUCAGAAAUAUUAA